rnacentral:rRNA from 1 species
CCUACGUGGGGCAGCAGUGAGGAAUAUUGGUCAAUGGGCGGAAGCCUGAACCAGCCAAGUAGCGUGCAGGAUGAAGGCCCUACGGGUUGUAAACUGCUUUUGUCUGGGAAUAACGCCCCUUACGUGUAGGGCUUUGCAUGUACCGGAUGAAUAAGGACCGGCUAAUUCCGUGCCAGCAGCCGCGGUAAUACGGAAGGUCCGGGCGUUAUCCGGAUUUAUUGGGUUUAAAGGGAGCGUAGGCCGCAUGUCAAGCGUGCUGUGAAAUGUCCGGGCUCAACCCGGGCCUUGCAGCGCGAACUGGCGUGCUUGAGUCCGCGGAAAGCAGGCGGAAUUCGUCGUGUAGCGGUGAAAUGCUUAGAUAUGACGAAGAACCCCGAUUGCGAAGGCAGCUUGCUGCAGCGGAACUGACGCUGAUGCUCGAAAGCGCGGGUAUCGAACAGGAUUAGAUACCCUAGUAGUC